ACGGAGUUUAAAUAAUGUUGUUAAAUUCAUGCAUUAAUUGGGAAAACUCGACAUUGGCUGUUACGUCACCCGCAUUUACGUGCACGAUAUUACAGGGGCGGAGCUACAUCACCAGCAGCAGUUGUUUACAUCUCUUGCUGCUGGUAAGUCGCAUCAAAGAUUGCUGCGUCUUGACAAUUGAGUUUAAACUGUUUUUAAGUGCAAGGUUUGACUUUUAUACUACACACAAUGUUAUAUCAUUUGUCUGUCAGUUCUUAGUCCUGUCAGUCGAGUCAAAUGUGUUAUUUGCAAUGAUAAAAUGAAGUGUGUGUGUGUGUGUGUGCUAACCUGCUUGUGAACUCCGAAUCUCUGUUUAUUUUAUUUAAGACAUCUAUGCCACGUGAUGCACUGUACGUUAACCAGCUUUUGGUCGUGUUUGUUACAGAUCUCUCACUGCUGGCUCAGUAAAGUGCAAUUUUGAGUAACCAUC